UACGUAGGGGGCGAGCGUUGUCCGGAGUUACUGGGCGUAAAGGGCGUGCAGGCGGUGCGGUAAGUUUAGCGUGACAGUCUCCGGCUUAACUGGAGAGGGCCGCUGAAAACUGCUGGACUUGAGGGCCAGAGAGGGACAUAGAAUUCCGGGUGGAGUGGUGAAAUGCGUAGAUAUCCGGAGGAAUACCAAAGGCGAAGGCAGUGUCCUGGCUGGCAACUGACGCUGAGGCGCGAAAGCUAGGGGAGCGAACAGG
rnacentral:rRNA from 1 species